rnacentral:tRNA from 1 species
GUUUUAAUAGUUUAAAUAAAAUACUGGUCUUGUAAACCAGAGAUAAGAUUCCCCUUUUAAAACU